CGAGUCUGCAGCAGCCAGUACCAUGGCCGUCUCUGCCUCCCUCAUGCCACCCAUCUGGGACAAGACAAUCCCCUACGAUGGCGAGUCUUUCCACCUAGAGUACAUGGACCUGGAUGAGUUCCUGUUGGAGAAUGGCAUCCCUGCCAGCCCCACCCACCUGGCCCAGAACCUGCUGCUGCCUGUGGCAGAGCUUGAGGGGAAGGAGUCUGCCAGCUCUUCCACAGCAUCACCACCAUCUUCCUCUACUGCCAUCUUCCAGCCCUCGGAAACCGUGUCCAGCACAGGAGACCGAGGCACAGAGAAGUAAGGAACUUGCCUAACUCACCCGGCCGACAGGUACUAAAGCAGCACUGAACCCAGGAUGCUCAUCUGCAGAGGCAGACACUGCUGAGGCACUAGCACAGUGUUCCCACUGCUUCAAACAAAACAAAACAAAAAAUCCUUCAGGAUCUGAAGACUGUUUUGGCUUUGUUUUGUUUUGUGUUGUUGUUGUUUGUUUGUUUUUGGCUUUGUUUUGGCUUAUUUGCUUUCAUAUCUGAACAUAAACCCACUGGGGAAGAUUUGUCCCCCAUUCAGAAGCCAUGCAGAGUUUCUGUCGCCUUAGAGACAUAACGACAGGCAUCUCCUGGAACCACACCACAAAGCUCUCAUGGUAUGUUUCUGUUUAACUUUCCAAAAGGGAAACUUUUCAAAUAAAUAUAGAGAGUAAGAAGUUGGAGUGUAUGUCACUGGUAGGGCAUUUUACUGUGUAUCUAAAAUGCCCUCUUAGAGUUGUUAUUUUUAGUUGUGGGGGGUUAUACGUGGAUGCUGGGAACUGAACUCAGGUUAACUACAAAAGCAGCACGUGGUUUUAGCCACUGUAUCUCUGCAGCCUUCGUAUAUCUGUAAUCCUUAUUCCACAGAAGACUGAGGCAGGAGGAUCACAAGUUUAAAGCUACUCUAAAUAACACAGUGAGACCCUAUCUCAGAAAAAUAAAAAAGAGGCUGGAGAUGUAAUUCGGUGGCAGAGAGCUUGCUUAGCGUGCACAAAACCUUGGGUUCCCGACUGGAAAGAUGGCUCAACACUGAAGAGUGUUGGUUGCUGUUCCAGAAGACCCAGGUUUGGCUUCCCAGCACGUGCAUGGUGGCUCACAACUACCUGUAACUAACCAGUCACAGGGGAUCUGACACCCACACCCACUUCUGGCUUCUUUAGGUAACAGGUAUGCAUGUGGUAUACAGACAAACAUGCAUAGACAUAAAAUAAAUAUUUUUU
rnacentral:lncRNA from 1 species